GUGAAGACUGAUGAAUAUCUUUGAAGAUAGAGAACAGAACUCCUCAACGGAUAAAAGUAGGUACAUCGCUCGCGAUCAGUGUGAUAGCUUAGUAAACAAUAGAUUUUUAACCAGGCAAAGCAUACAUUUUAAUACAAUGGGGCCACUAAAAAAUAUAAAUAAUUUGUUUUUUCAAAAAAGAACAAAAACACGAC